GUAGCAGAUCCCUCACACAAUACAUUCUGAAUUUCUCUAUUUUUUAUCACAUCAAAGAGAACUUGCAGAUCGGUUCAUGCAUCAAACCAAAUUUUGCUUCCGGCCAGCAAAAGAGAGCAAGAGAAGUUGGACGACGAUCAGAGCGCAGCGAAGAUGGGAGGAGAAUCAGGUCCCACCGGGCGUGCCAUUUUGUUUCGAAAACAAAAAUACAGGACAAACGCGGAAAUAAAUUAUGGGAACUUGUAUUUUAUUCAUCAUCGUACGAUUACAAAUACAUGAAUGUUACAUGCUCCCAUUGGAGUUUGCCUAUUUUGCCUUCUGCGACUAUGCUUAAGGAGUAUCUNNNNNNNNNNAGAAGAAUAGAAGUUCUGUGUCAUCAGGCAUUUCUUUCAGCAUUGAGAACCAUAGCACGGAAGGGAAGGAAGGUCCGUGAGUGUGCAUGCAUAUUUUUUUUAAGAAAAAAGUAGAUGCAACACAAGAGGGACGCGUGCAUGCCUAUCAGAACCAGGCCUGUGCACAUCCGUUUUGUUUUAAGGACCACUCAUAGUAUUUCUCUUUACUGUUUCUUGCUUCAUCGAAUAGAACUUGUAGCAGAUCCCUCACACAAUACAUUCUGAAUUUCUCUAUUUUUUAUCACAUCAAAGAGAACUUGCAGAUCGGUUCAUGCAUCAAACCAAAUUUUGCUUCCGGCCAGCAAAAGAGAGCAAGAGAAGUUGGACGACGAUCAGAGCGCAGCGAAGAUGGGAGGAGAAUCAGGUCCCACCGGGCGUGCCAUUUUGUUUCGAAAACAAAAAUACAGGACAAACGCGGAAAUAAAUUAUGGGAACUUGUAUUUUAUUCAUCAUCAUACGAUUACAAAUACAUGAAUGUUACAUGCUCCCAUUGGAGUUUGCCUAUUUUGCCUUCUGCGACUAUGCUUAAGGAGUAUCUGACUUGGAAGAUUGCGUGUAGUCCGCUGAUUCCCGGUGCUUUUGCAAAGCGUCCGGUUAAUUACAUCUGCAGGUCAAGCCUACAGAAAACCUCCGAUUAAGCUGCACGCGGUGGUCGUCGUGAAAUUUGCUCAUCCAUAAUGCAUGUGGGAUGUUUGGAGAAAAGAUGUAGAUGGUGGUGAUACAUAGGUGCGGGUGGCUUUGUUUUGCCUGAACCCAGUCACGAUACGCCAUCGCCAUGUCGGUAUUUAGAACGGAAUUUGUUGAUGAAGAUGGUGACCUUUGCCUUGUCGGUGCCCAGUCAUGUAUCCAAGAAUUCAUCGAACAUGGACAUGUGUAUGUUGCUUUCGCCUCGUCGGUGCCCAGCAAUGAAGUGUCCGAUCCCGUUUGGGAUUGUGACAUGUUAAUGGAAUAUAGUGACCUGGCCGUGUUGGCACUUGGACAUGAUUUCGUCUAGCCUUGUCGGCACUAGACAUGAGAUGGGUAUGAUGGAUUUGACCAUAACCACAUGGACAUUAGGCCAUAGAUUUGAGAUAGACCAUUGAUAGAGCAUGUCUUUUCUCCUUUAUUUUAAGAAUCAGGGGUUGCACACCGCCGACAUAGAUGAAGCAAUCGACGAUGUAUUUUUUGUGAGGAUUUUCAUCUACUCCGCAUGGGCGACGUUGAUGAAGCGAUCGUGCCAUGGUCGUAGGUUUCCGCAUGGGCGACGUUGAUGAGGCGGUCGUGCCAUGGUUGUAUAUUUUUACAUGGGCGACUUUGAUGAGGCGGUCGUGCCAUGGAUGUAAAUCUCCGCAU
rnacentral:lncRNA from 1 species